ensembl:lncRNA
AAAAGAAAAUGCAAAAAGAAAAACGCUGCAAAAAGAAAAAAUGCUGCAAAAAGAAAAAUGCUGCGAAAAGAAAAACGCUGCAAAAAGAAAAAUGCUGCAAAAAGAAAAAUGCUGCAAAAAGAAAAACGCUGCAAAAAGAAAAACACCUGCAAAAAGAAAAAUGCUGCAAAAAGAAAAACGCUGCAAAAAGAAAAACGCUGCAAAAAGAAAAACGCUGCGAAAAGAAAAAUGCUGCAAAAAGAAAAAAUGCUGCAAAAAGAAAAAUGCUGCGAAAAGAAAAACGCUGCAAAAAGAAAAAUGCUGCAAAAAGAAAAAUGCUGCAAAAAGAAAAACGCUGCAAAAAGAAAAACACCUGCAAAAAGAAAAACGCUGCAAAAAGAAAAACGCUGCGAAAAGAAAAAUGCUGCAAAAAGAAAAAAUGCUGCAAAAAGAAAAACGCUGCAAAAAGAAAAACGCUGCAAAAAGAAAAAUGCUGCGAAAAGAAAAACACCUGCAAAAAGAAAAACAGCUGCAAAAAGAAAAACACCUGCAAAAAGAAAAACGCUGCAAAAAGAAAAAAUGCUGCAAAAAGAAAAAUGCUGCGAAAAGAAAAACGCUGCAAAAAGAAAAAUGCCGCAAAAAGAAAAAUGCUGCAAAAAGAAAAACGCUGCAAAAAGAAAAACACCUGCAAAAAGAAAAAUGCUGCAAAAAGAAAAACGCUGCAAAAAGAAAAACGCUGCAAAAAGAAAAACGCUGCAAAAAGAAAAAUGCUGCAAAAAGAAAAAUGCUGCAAAAAGAAAAACGCUGCAAAAAGAAAAACGCUGCAAAAAGAAAAAUGCUGCAAAAAGAAAAACGCUGCAAAAAGAAAAACGCUGCAAAAAGAAAAAUGCUGCGAAAAGAAAAACGCUGCGAAAAGAAAAACGCUGCAAAAAGAAAAACGCUGCAAAAAGAAAAACACCUGCAAAAAGAAAAAUGCUGCAAAAAGAAAAAUGCUGCAAAAAGAAAAAUGCUGCGAAAAGAAAAACGCUGCAAAAAGAAAAAUGCUGCAAAAAGAAAAACGCUGCAAAAAAGAAAAACGCUGCAAAAAGAAAAAUGCUGCAAAAAGAAAAACGCUGCAAAAAGAAAAACGCUGCAAAAGCACACACAACACAACGGAAAUGUUUCUGGGGAGACAAUAAGCGGACGGACCAGUUGCAUGAACCAAAACAUGCUAACAAGUGCACUGGGACUGGGAGACACUUCAAAGAAGUGGAAGCGGAGCAGCCAAAGAGUAAACUUUCAAAACUUAUCACACAUUUGAUUUCCAUGUGUGACGACUGCAAGUGUCCAGAGUGAGGACAGACUGAGGGACCCACUGCUGCAUAUCAUCUAUGAGGCUUUGCAGCCCUGAUGAUCCACCAGGACAAACUCAGCAGUGUGUGAGGAAGAGGAGGAGGAAGAGCCAGCAGCAGCUGACAGAUGGAGAGAAUAGACAGACUGUUCCCUGUUUGUGAAGGACUGCUAGGAAAGUUUAACAUAACUAAUUGUCUGUCCUGAAUCAGUCUUAUUAGGUAAUGUUCAAAUAAUGUGAUCAUCCCAGUGUUUUCAGUGUGGGAGAAAGUACUCAGGGCCUUCAAGUUACACACUAUGAAAGGCAGCAACAAGUGUAAUGUUCAGAAACCUAAAGUCUGUAUCAGCAGCAGAAUGGAGCUAAAAAUAAAUGUUUGUUUCAGUUCUAUGAAGCUUUGAGGAUUUUGGAUCAGUAGCACUGCUGUGUGUGUUGCAUCAUAUUGCUGUAAUUGUUUAUAUGCUUUAUAUAUUCUGAGGUAAGUUGAUCUAUAGUGUUACAUCAUAUUCUAUAAGGAUGUUAUGUGUUUGCAUACUUUCUGCCCAGUUUGACCCAUUUAGCAGAAGUCAGCCUGUUUAAGACUCUGAUAUCUAUUCUGUAUGACUUAAAGCAGUUAUGACAUGGUCUGAUUUUCUCACCCAAUAAAGGAAUAUUUCAUAUAUCAGUCUACUCUUCAUUCUAUCAGACACAGUUAUCACAGCUUGUACAUUUGCUUUUUAUAAAUAUAUGUAAGCAAUGAGCCAAAUUUAGUAAUGGCAACAUACUGAAGGAACAACAUUUGUCUCUUAUAUAUGAUACACCUAUAUAUGCACUGUCAAAGAUACUUGUCUUUGAGUGAAGAUUUAAGGUGAUAAGACAUAUAAAUAACUGCAACUUGAAUCUGUACUGGGCUCAGUAUUUGACACAGAGUUCAUGUUCACUGCUGUAAUAGCUAAUAAUGAUUAAUAUAAUAACUAUAAUAUUGGCCAUAUUAUAUUUACAUUACCAAAGUGAUAUGACUUUAGUCUCAUGAACAACAUCAGCUAAUUCUUAUUUACUAGCUAAUCUUAAAAUGACUGUUCAGCACAGAAAUCAAGCCCAAAAAUCAUGUUUUGCUGUCCUGUGGUCUCAGCCUCAGAUACUUAUCAAAUCACACAAAGCUCUUGUAGAAACAAACAAAUGAACAAAAUAUGUUCUCCUUCAUUUCUGUCAAACCAAGUUGUAUGACACGUUUCCAGCGGUUAGUAUCAUGGUUGCUAGGCAACCUGGGAAGCUCGACAGAGACUAGACCGUCCCAUACAGACAAACUUGCCGUUUAUUUUGUAAAUCGAGCUCAACACUGCCCCUAGCGUCCGGGAGCACUUCCGUUGUGUUUUGGAGUUUGCAAGUGUUUUGGAGUUUGCAAGUGUUUUAGAGUUUGUACAUGAGUUGUCUCUAGGGGCCACCGUAGAUAGGCCACGUGAAACCAGAUUCGUGUUAAACAAUAUAGGGGGAGGAAAAUGCACCAUGUCAACAGGUAUCAGGCUGUGAUGUUCUCCUUUAUAGUGGACAGAAAUUAUUAUUUUUUGGAGUGGCACAGAUAAUUUGUGGCAUCUUAUUGAAUGCAGAACAGCUGAUUGUUCUGUAAAUAGUUUGAAAUGGUUAUUUAAAAAAGGGGUAAAAGGUUAAUGGCUGCAAAUAACUGUUGUUUGCAAAAUUUGUACAUAUGAUUUUAAAACUGACAAUUUAUAUUUGCAUUUAAAGUUAUGAAAUAGGAUUCAUUAAACAUGUUUGUGGUUGUUACAGUAAAAAAUAUAACUUUUUCUACUCUGAUUUUAAUUUUUUUUUUUAUUUUAGAUCAACUGUGUUAAUA